rnacentral:rRNA from 1 species
GAUGAACGCUGGCGGCGUGCUUAACACAUGCAAGUCGACCGGUGAACGAGGGAGCUUGCUCCCUCCGGAUCAGUGGCGAACGGGUGAGUAACACGUGAGCAGUCUGCCCUGGACUCUGGGAUAAGCGUUGGAAACGACGUCUAAUACCGGAUACGAGGCGUGGGGGCAUCCCCAACGCCUGGAAAGAACUUCGGUCCAGGAUGAGCUCGCGGCCUAUCAGCUAGUUGGUGAGGUAACGGCUCACCAAGGCGACGACGGGUAGCCGGCCUGGGAGGGUGACCGGCCACACUGGGACUGGGACACGGCCCAGACUCCUACGGGAGGCAGCAGUGGGGAAUAUUGCACAAUGGGCGCAAGCCUGAUGCAGCAACGCCGCGUGGGGGACGACGGCCGUCGGGUUGUAAACCUCUUUUAGCAGGGAAGAAGCGAAAGUGACGGUACCUGCAGAAAAAGCACCGGCUAACUACGUGCCAGCAGCCGCCGUAAAAC